rnacentral:misc_RNA from 1 species
GAAAUGCGAUAAGUAGUGUGAAUUGCAGAAUUCAGUGAAUCAUCGAAUCUUUGAACGCACAUUGCGCCCCUCGGCAUUCCGUGGGGCAUGCCUGUUCGAGCGUCAUCUACACCCUCAAGCUCUGCUUGGUGUUGGGCGUCUGUCCCGCCUCCGCGCGCGGACUCACCCCAAAUGCAUUGGCAGCGGUUCCUUGCCCCCCUCUUUGCGCAGCACAUUGCCAUUCGAGGCGGCGGCGGCCCGCGUCCAACAAGCUCAACCCCCCCGUCUUUGACCUCGGAUCAGGUAGGGAUACCCGCUGAACUUAAGC